rnacentral:rRNA from 1 species
ACUCAAAUGAAUUGACGGGGGCCCGCACAAGCGGUGGAGCAUGUGGUUCAAUUCGAUGCAGAGCGAAGAACCUUACCUGGGCUUGACAUGCAGGAAGUAGAAACCGGAAACGGCGACGACCUGUUAAGUCAGGAACCUGCACAGGUGGUGCAUGGCUGUCGUCAGCUCGUGCCGUGAGGUGUUGGGUUAAGUCCCGCAACGAGCGCAACCCUCACCCUAUGUUGCCAUCGGGUAAUGCCGGGCACUCUUGGGGAACUGCCGGCGAAGAGCUGGAGGAAGGGGGGGAUGACGUCAAGUCCGUAUGCCCCUUAUGUCCAGGGCUACACACAUGCUACAAUGGCCGAUACAGAGGGUUCCCAACCCGCAAGGGGGAGGCAAUCCCACAAAGUCGGUCUCAGUUCGGAUUGCAGGCUGCAACUCGCCUGCAUGAAGUCGGAAUCGCUAGUAAGCGCAGAUCAGCAGGCUGCGCUGAAUACGUUCCCGGGCCUUGUACACACCGCCCGU